rnacentral:misc_RNA from 1 species
GUUCAAAAGUGGCUUAAGGUCUUAACUAUAGAACAAAGAGCAGCACCUUUGAUAAUUUAUAAAAUAAUAAAAUUAUUUUUUAUCCUAAUUUUAACUGUUGUAGCCAACUGGAUACACUUGCAACCAAGAUCUCAAUUUGGGAUAAAAUUUGUAAAAUUAAAAACUCAGGAUGUAAUUGAAAAUCAUGAAAAGGAUUGGCUUUUUGUGGUUUUUGACCUUUAUAAAACAUUCUCUAAUUGGCAUGUGUUAACAUGUGUUCAUGCACAGACAUGAACACGUCACACCAAAAAAGAGAACAAGAAUUCUGCCAUUAAGAAUUUGCAGUCUCACCACUUUUUCACUGGUCAGUUUUCUCAUGAACUAAAGACAUCAAAUAGAAGAAGCAUAGAAUAGAGAGAUAAUGAUAAACAGACCUCAUUAGCUUGAUUACCUAUAAUUAGGGGUGUGUGAUUCUGGUUCGGUUCAAAGUCUGUUUAAGAACUGGAACCGAACUGAAAUUUCGGUACGGUUCCAGUUUGGUUCUUCAUUGUUUCGGAUCCGAUUCGGUACGGUUCUUGGUUCUUUAGUUCCAGUUUAGUCCUCAG